GGCAAGUCUGGUGCCAGCAGCCGCGGUAAUUCCAGCUCCAAUAGCGUAUAUUAAAGUUGUUGCAGUUAAAAGCUCGUAGUUGAAUUUCUGAUUAUGGAUGUAGCGGUUUCCGUUACAUUUGUAGUCAUCCACAUGAGAACCUUUCUCGGCCUUCACUGGUCGGUUGGGGAUCAUGUACUUUACUUUGAAAAAUACAGAGUGUUUCAGGCAGGCGUUUGCAUGAAUACACAAGCAUGGAAUAAUGGAAUAGGACUAGGGUCCAUUUUAUUGGUUAUUGGACCAUAGUAAUGAUUAAUAGGGACAGUUGGGGCGAUUAGUAUUUAAUUGUCAGAGGUGAAAUUCUUGGAUUUAUUUAAAAGACUAACUUAUGCGAAAGCAUUUGCCAAGGAUGUUUUCAUUAAAUCAAGAACGAAAGUUAGGGGAGUCAAAGACGAUCAGAUACCGUCCUAGUCUUAACUAUAAACUAUACCGACUAGGAUGUUGGGUCAUUAGAGCCCAAUCAGCACCUUAUGAGAAAUC
rnacentral:rRNA from 1 species